rnacentral:rRNA from 1 species
AGCGUAGGCGGGUUGUUAAGUCAGUUGUGAAAGUUUGCGGCUCAACCGUAAAAUUGCAGUUGAUACUGGCGACCUUGAGUGCAACAGAGGUAGGCGGAAUUCGUGGUGUAGCGGUGAAAUGCUUAGAUAUCACGAAGAACUCCGAUUGCGAAGGCAGCUUACUGGAUUGUAACUGACGCUGAUGCUCGAAAGUGUGGGUAUCAAACA